GAUGAACGCUGGCGGCGUGCCUAAUACAUGCAAGUCGAACGAAGCUUCUUUAUCACCGAGUGCUUGCACUCACCGAUAAAGAGUUGAGUGGCGAACGGGUGAGUAACACGUGGGCAACCUGCCCGAAAGAGGGGGAUAACACUUGGAAACAGGUGCUAAUACCGCAUAACCAUGAACACCGCAUGGUGUUUAUGUGAAAGGUGGUUUCGGCUACCGCUUUCGGAUGGGCCCGCGGCGCAUUAGCUAGUUGGUGGGGUAAAGGCUUACCAAGGCAAGGAUGCGUAGCCGAACUGAGAGGUUGAUCGGCCACAUUGGGACUGAGCCACGGCCCAAACUCCUACGGGAGGCAGCAGUAGGGAAUCUUCCACAAUGGGCGAAAGCCUGAUGGAGCAACGCCGCGUGGGUGAAGAAGGUCUUCGGAUCGUAAAACCCUGUUGUCAGAGAAGAAAGUGCAUGAGAGUAACUGUUCAUGUUUCGACGGUAUCUGACCAGAAAGCCACGGCUAACUACGUGCCAGCAGCCGCCGUAA
rnacentral:rRNA from 1 species